CAAAACGUUAAAAUAUGUUUCAGGUGGGUUCCAAAUACUGUUUAUCACUGAAAGUACGGCGGAAAUUACGGCUGCUGUGAGAAACAGAACCAUAAAAAUUACGUUGCUCACCCAAGCUCCUGCGUUCACCAAAGCUGGGAUAUCUGAAAACAAAAGGGGAACCGAAUGCAGCGUUGUAACAGUGACCCCGCUGGACGACGAGGAUGACCCUCUGGGAGUGCAAGCGAAACUCGGCAAACCACCGGCUAAAAGCGUCUCUACUUCCGUUAUCCUCUCUUCGUGUGUCGACAUACAACUCCAUGCACAGGCGUUCGAACCCCAA
rnacentral:misc_RNA from 1 species